ACACAUGCAAGUCGAACGGGAUCCCUGGCAGCUUGCUGUCGGGGUGAGAGUGGCGAACGGGUGAGUAAUGCGUGACCAACCUGCCCUGUGCACCGGAAUAGCUCCUGGAAACGGGUGGUAAUACCGGAUGCUCCGCUCCAUCGCAUGGUGGGGUGGGAAAUGCUUUUGCGGCAUGGGAUGGGGUCGCGUCCUAUCAGCUUGUUGGCGGGGUGAUGGCCCACCAAGGCGUUGACGGGUAGCCGGCCUGAGAGGGUGACCGGCCACAUUGGGACUGAGAUACGGCCCAGACUCCUACGGGAGGCAGCAGUGGGGAAUAUUGCACAAUGGGCGCAAGCCUGAUGCAGCGACGCCGCGUGCGGGAUGGAGGCCUUCGGGUUGUAAACCGCUUUUGUUCAAGGGCAAGGCACGGUUUCGGCCGUGUUGAGUGGAUUGUUCGAAUAAGCACCGGCUAACUACGUGCCAGCAGCCGCGGUAAUACGUAGGGUGCGAGCGUUAUCCGGAUUUAUUGGGCGUAAAGGGCUCGUAGGCGGUUCGUCGCGUCCGGUGUGAAAGUCCAUCGCCUAACGGUGGAUCUGCGCCGGGUACGGGCGGGCUGGAGUGCGGUAGGGGAGACUGGAAUUCCCGGUGUAACGGUGGAAUGUGUAGAUAUCGGGAAGAACACCAAUGGCGAAGGCAGGUCUCUGGGCCGUCACUGACGCUGAGGAGCGAAAGCGUGGGGAGCGAACAGGAUUAGAUACCCUGGUAGUCCACGCCGUAAACGGUGGAUGCUGGAUGUGGGGCCCUUUCCACGGGUCCCGUGUCGGAGCCAACGCGUUAAGCAUCCCGCCUGGGGAGUACGGCCGCAAGGCUAAAACUCAAAGAAAUUGACGGGGGGCCCGCACAAGCGGCGGAGCAUGCGGAUUAAUUCGAUGCAACGCGAAAGAACCUUACCUGGGCCUUGACAUGUGGCCGGAAUCGCCGUGGAAGACACGGGUUUCCCUUUCGGGGCCGGUUCACAGGUGGUGCAUGGUCGUCGUCAGCUCGUGUCGUGAGAUGUUGGGUUAAGUCCCGCAACGAGCGCAACCCUCGCCGCAUGUUGCCAGCGGGUGAUGCCGGGAACUCAUGUGGGACCGCCGGGGUCAACUCGGAGGAAGGUGGGGAUGACGUCAGAUCAUCAUGCCCCUUACGUCCAGGGCUUCACGCAUGCUACAAUGGCCGGUACAACGCGGUGCGACACGGUGACGUGGGGCGGAUCGCUGAAAACCGGUCUCAGUUCGGAUCGCAGUCUGCAACUCGACUGCGUGAAGGCG
rnacentral:rRNA from 1 species